GUGCUCGCUUCGGCAGCACAUAUACUAUAAUUGGAACGAUACAGAAAAGAUUAGCAUGGCCCCUGUGCAAGGAUGACACACAAAUUCAUGAAGCAUUCAAUAUUUUU
ensembl:snRNA U6 U6 spliceosomal RNA